AUUGAACGCUGGCGGCAGGCCUAACACAUGCAAGUCGGGCGAGUGGCGGACGGGUGAGUAAUGUAUGGGAAUCUGCCUGAUGGAGGGGGAUAACUACUGGAAACGGUAGCUAAUACCGCAUACCAUCAGAUGAGCCCAAAUUGGAUUAGCUAGUAGGUGGGGUAACGGCUCACCUAGGCGACGAUCCCUAGCUGGUCUGAGAGGAUGAUCAGCCACACUGGGACUGAGACACGGCCCAGACUCCUACGGGAGGCAGCAGUGGGGAAUAUUGCACAAUGGGCGCAAGCCUGAUGCAGCCAUGCCGCGUGUAUGAAGAAGGCCUUCGGGUUGUAAAGUACUUUCAGUCGGGAGGCGUUACCGGCAGAAGAAGCACCGGCUAACUCCGUGCCAGCAGCCGCGGUAAUUC
rnacentral:rRNA from 1 species